rnacentral:lncRNA from 1 species
UGAAGAUGUGGAAAAAUACUAUGGCCGGGAUAAAAAAGUGAGCCCAAGCUGCCCUGCAAAGCAUCAUUCCCAGAAGAAUUGCUCUUUGAUGAUAAACCAUGCUCCUGGAGCCCAGAAGGAAAUUCUUGGAGACCUACAGAACGGCACAUGAGUUAAGACCAACUGGUCUGCAGGCCUGGACCAGAUGGAUGGUCAGCUCCUGAAAGACUCUCAGAAGAGGGAUCCAUUCUCCUUAAGAAGAGAGGCAAAGGAAGCCCCAUAGCCAUCAAACAGAUGAAAGGCAAGGGCAACAGAAUCCCAUGUCCAGGCCCAGCCAGGGAGCAGCACCAACAACCCAACCUCAGGACCUUGGAGAAAGACGCAAACAAAGAUGGUGACUUACAAAGCAUCCUUCCAUUUCCCAGAAACAGACCAGGAAGUCCCCUGUCAACUUGGAGUGAAGAAGACUGCCAAUCACAAGAUGCCCUGACAGAAGAGAAAAGCGCCCAUCUGUCUUGCCUAGGGGAGGUAUUUGCUCCUGGUGAAGUACCCCUGUAGAGGUCCAGGGC